rnacentral:rRNA from 1 species
UACGGAGGGUGCAAGCGUUGUCCGGAUUUAUUGGGUUUAAAGGGUGCGUAGGCGGUUCUUUAAGUCUGGGGUGAAAGCCCGUUGCUCAACAACGGAACUGCCCUGGAAACUGGAGGACUUGAGUACAGACGAGGGUGGCGGAAUGGAUGCUGUAGCGGUGAAAUGCAUAGAUAGCAUCCAGAACCCCAAUUGCGUAGGCAGCUGCCUAGGCUACAUCUGACACUGAGGCACGAAAGCGUGGGGAGCAAACAGG